rnacentral:rRNA from 1 species
CAGUCGCCGCGGUAAUACGUAGGUCCCGAGCGUUGUCCGGAUUUAUUGGGCGUAAAGCGAGCGCAGGCGGUUAGAUAAGUCUGAUGUGAAAGCCCCCGGCUUAACCGGGGAGGGUCAUUGGAAACUGGGAGACUUAGAGUGCAGAAGAGGAGAGUGGAAUUCCAUGUGUAGCGGUGAAAUGCGUAGAUAUAUGGAGGAACACCGGUGGCGAAAGCGGCUCUCUGGCUUGUAACUGACGCUGAGGCUCGAAAGCGUGGGGAGCAAACAGGAUUAGAUACCCGUGUAGUCCCUGUCUCUUAUA